rnacentral:rRNA from 1 species
UACGUAGGUGGCAAGCGUUGUCCGGAUUUAUUGGGUUUAAAGGGUGCGUAGGCGGCCGCUUAAGUCAGUUGUGAAAUAUCCCGGCUCAACCGGGAGGGUGCGAUUGAUACUGGGCGCUCGAGUAACAGCGAGGUUGGCGGAAUUGACGGUGUAGCGGUGAAAUGCAUAGAUAUCGUCAAGAACACCGAUAGCGAAGGCAGCCAACUAGGGGUUAACUGACGCUGAGGCACGAAAGUGCGGGGAUCAAACAGG